AUUCAGCGUUUAGUAAAAGGGUUAGAAAGGAAUGCUUUUUCUGUUAAGAAUCAAAGAUGCCUUGCACUUAUUAUUUGUAUGAGCUAACUGUCAUAGAAAUUAUUAGACCAAAUUAAAGGGGAAACACUGAAUUGCCAGGUUGGGGGAAUUGUUGCUAAGUAACAGCAAGAUAGGGCUCUUGCACACAGAUGACGAAUUCCUCAGCUUGCAUGAUAACACGACUGCCUGUUUCUUGGUGAGGCCAAAACUUUCCUAGCUAGCAGCUCUGCAUUUUGAGAAAGGGGGAAAUGAUUUUAGGAAUGCUUUUAGCUGUUACUGAACACUACACUACAAAAAUAGAAAAAUGGUAUUGAUAACUACUUGCCUAUAUGCCUAAUCACCUACACUUGUAAUCAGUUGUGAGUGUGUGUGUGUCUUCUCCAGAAUCACCUAUGAAUCUCAGAAAAUGAACAACUGACGCAGCUUGUUGGCUGCAUGUGGUAGGAUAAAGUGGGGGAUCAACCACCAAUCAGCCACCCCCUUAUCGUAUCAGGGGCCAUAGCUGAGCAGGCCUGCUCUAGAGGAAGAAAGUGAUUUUGCCUUCCAGGCUAGUAAAAUGCUGUUUAUGACUUUGCUAUACAGAGACUUUGCUAUACAGAGACCAACUUGUUUAUGUUUGUAAGAUGUGGGCUUGAACUAGGGGCUCAUGAAAAAUGCAUGUUUUGUAUGGAUCCUCUUUUCUUCAGUGUCCAUAAGUUGUAUGAUUUCACCAUGACAUGCAACAAAAAUGGCCAUAUUUUAAGGAAUGCAGUGAUUUGUUUUAAAUAGCGGCCUUAAUAGGAACAUUGCAGCAAAAGAAGUAUUACGCUAGUUUAAAUGAUCUUUCCCAGUCUCAGAUAGUCAAUGCAGAAGGAGAGAAAUAAGUGCAUGAGAAGUGCAAGAAGAUCACAAAAGAACUGCUUCCAUUCUGGAGCUAUAAUUGAACAAGCUCUCCAACACACUAGCAUGCUGUUGACUUCUGAUUGGAGAACUAGGCUUCAAAAAAAGAGGAGACCCCUCCGUCAAAGGGCAUCACAAGAAUGCUUUGGUCAUGUCCUUACACCAUGUCCUUACACUUCUUCAGCAGCAAAGACACAGACCACCUGGACCUACUCCAUGGACCAGUGACGGAUGAAGCCAAACAGUGGUCCGUGUUCCUCCUGCCGUGGCAGACUUCAGAUGCAGGCGGCACUUCAUCGCUCACAAAGGGG